UAUUAUGGGGUAUAACAAGGCCGCGCUUAUGCCCGUGAACUGGAUCACUCAAAUAACGGUGAUUGAUUGCCAUAAAAUGUUAUGUUUAGCGUGUCUUCAAUGGAUAUUAAUUUUUUUUCACAUGAGAUAGAUUAAAUCCAAUCCUAUAAAAUCAACAAAUAUGACUAAUAAAUGCCCCCAACAGAACGCCUGGCUUCAAUUCUUCUAUUUGAAACACUCAUUUGGACAGUCCCCAUUUCUACACAAUCUCUCCUCUCUGCAACAUCUCUAUCUCAUGGGAGAUCCUCCAAAAUCACUAACACCAAAUUUUUACAGCAUUCUUGGAAUUCCAAAGACAGCUUUCCUAGCAGCUAUUUGCAGAGCCUACAAGUCCCUUGUUAUGAAAUGGCACCCUGAUAGAAAUCCUUUCAACAAAGCCGAAGCUGAAGCGAACAUCUGAUCCAUUAACGAGGCCUAUAGGGCCCUCGGCCUUAAGAAAGGGGAAGAAGCAGAUGCAGGAAGUCAGAACAAGACGAAGAAAAAAUCUGAUGAUGAUGAAGAAUUGCACAUUUCUAGCCCCACACUUCUUUCACGCACCACAAGCAGGAUCAGCCCAAUGCCAAGUCCAAAAGAUUUGUCACACAGUACAAGCCAGGGAAGCACAACUACAUCAACGGAUUCCUAUGCUUCAACCAAAAUCUCCUACAGGGGCUAGCGACCUUUCAGCCCCGACUACCCAAAGGAGGCAAAUUCUCUAUCAAAAAUAGCCAGCUGAAGAACUGCGAUACCUAUUAUGUUUUCACAAUCCACGGCCGAAGAAAAACGCAGACCAUCGAGAAAAAGCUUGAGCACACCCUCGAGGAAUUGUGCCAUGGAUGUGUAAAGAAAAUGAAGAUCACGAGAGGUCAUCUCAAAUACCGGGGUGGAAAAAGGGCACAAAGAUCACCUUUGAAGGGAAGGAGACGAGAGGCCGGGAACCGUGCCAGCUGAAAUAAUCUUCCCCAUUGAUGAAAAAAGACAUUCAUUGUUUAAACGUGAAGGUGACGAUCUGGAGCUAGGAGUUGAGGUCCCUUCGAUUCAGGCCGUGACAGGUUGCACAAUUUCUGUCCCUCUGUUAGGAGGAGGUGACAUGACACUGUCACUAGAUGAUAUAAUAUACGCUGGAUAUGAAAAGCUCGUACCUGGACAAGGCAUGCCUAAAACCAAAGAAGAUGGUAGAAGAGGAGACUUUUGCCUCAAAUUUCUGGUUGAAUUACCAACAGAAUUGCCAAUGCACAACGCAUAGAAGUAGUUAGCAUUUUACAAGAAUGUUUUUGAGCACUGAAUUCUCUUUUUCUUCAAGCCUUAACACAGAAUUUUGAUUGCAGUUGGUAGAAUUAUGUAUGUGCAUUAUUACUUCAGCAGGUUUCUAAUGUAUAAUGAUCUGUACGCAUGCAUCCCAGAGAUAAUUAAUAGAGAAAUUUUAGAGUGAUCUCUGUAAUUUAAGCCUGCCAGAAAUUUCUUUACAAGAAAUUGGCCACAACUCAAGGAAACAAA